rnacentral:rRNA from 1 species
AACGCUGGCGGCAUGGCUAAAGCAUGCAAGUCGUACGAGAACCAGGCUUCGGCCUGGGGACAGUGGCGAAAGGGCGAGUAAUGGUAUCGAACGUACCCUGAGGUGGAGGAUAGGUCGGGGAAACCUGGCGUAAUACUCCAUGAUCUCCCAGGAGCAAAGCUUAGACGCCUUGGGAGCGGCGAUACUCCUAUCAGGUUGUUGGUGAGGUAAAGGCUCACCAAGCCGAAGACGGGUAGCGGGUGUGAGAGCAUGACCCGCCGCAUCGGGACUGAGACACUGCCCGGACUCCUACGGGAGGCUGCAGCGACGAAUAUUCCGCAAUGCGCGAAAGCGUGACGGAGCAAUGCCGCGUGUGGGAUGAAGCAGUUUUGCUGUGUAAACCACUGUCAGGGUCUAGGAAGAACUGACCAGACCCAAAGGAAGGACCGGCUAAUCCCGUGCCAGCAGCCGCGGUAAUACGGGAGGUCCGAGCGUUAAUCGGAAUCACUGGGCUUAAAGGGUGCGCAGGCGGAUCGGUAAGUGUCUUGUGAAAUCCCACGGCUCAACCGUGGAACUGCAGGGCAAACUGCCAGUCUUGAGGAAGGUAGAGGCUGACGGAACCAUAGGUGGAGCGGUGGAAUGCGUAGAUAUCUAUGGGAACGCCAAAAGCGAAGGCAGUCAGCUGGGCCUUUCCUGACGCUCAGGCACGAAAGCGUGGGUAGCGAACAGGAUUAGAUACCCUGGUAGUCCACGCCCUAAACGAUGUGCACUAGAUUGGAGCGGUUUUGACGCCGUUCUGGUCGGAGAGAAAUUGUUAAGUGCACCGCCUGGGGAGUAUGGUCGCAAGGCAA